CCUACGGGAGGCAGCAGUGGGGAAUUUUGGACAAUGGGCGCAAGCCUGAUCCAGCCAUGCCGCGUGCGGGAAGAAGGCCUUCGGGUUGUAAACCGCUUUUGUCAGGGAAGAAACGCUCUGGGCUAAUACCCCGGGGUAAUGACGGUACCUGAAGAAUAAGCACCGGCUAACUACGUGCCAGCAGCCGCGGUAAUACGUAGGGUGCAAGCGUUAAUCGGAAUUACUGGGCGUAAAGCGUGCGCAGGCGGCUGUGCAAGACAGAUGUGAAAUCCCCGGGCUCAACCUGGGAACUGCAUUUGUGACUGCACAGCUAGAGUACGGCAGAGGGGGAUGGAAUUCCGCGUGUAGCAGUGAAAUGCGUAGAUAUGCGGAGGAACACCGAUGGCGAAGGCAAUCCCCUGGGCCUGUACUGACGCUCAUGCACGAAAGCGUGGGGAGCAAACAGGAUUAGAUACCCUGGUAGUCCACGCCCUAAACGAUGUCAACUGGUUGUUGGGAGGGUUUCUUCUCAGUAACGUAGCUAACGCGUGAAGUUGACCGCCUGGGGAGUCGGCCGCAAGGUUGAACUNAAUGAUUGNGNGNGAGAGNGCGAGNGACGACGAGGGAGGAGG
rnacentral:rRNA from 1 species